rnacentral:lncRNA from 1 species
UCUCUCUCUAAAUCCCUUUUCUCUACCUUCUCUUUAAGGCUUCCACUAGAAACUUCAAGCGAUUUCAAAAACUGGCCAAAAACCCAAAUUUUGAGGUCGAAAAUUUCAACCGGCCACCGGAAAGCUUAAUCCUUUCUAAAAAAUUAAAAGAACUCAAAAAGCAACCACUGUGAACUUCAUCAGAAAGUUCAAAGAUUUAUCAGAAUCUGCAUAAAAAACCCAAAAAACCCAAAAAAAAUUCCAAAAAACAAAACUUUCCAGAAAUUUUAAAACUAACCCGAAAUCCAAACAGUUUUUCCAAAACCCAUAAACUCAAGACAAUUCUACAACAGAAAAAAAAAAUCAUCAUAGUCCAAAAAACUUGAAAUUUCAACUGUUUAAACACAUAACCCAGAAUUUUUCAGAAAAGUAAAAAUUUCCAAAAACGUCUUUGUAAACCCAAAAUUCAAUUGUUGCUUCCCCUUUUUAUCAUUUCCCCUCCUUUGUGUGGUUGAUUGUUGUUGGUUUUAUAGAGAUCAAAUCUCUUUUAAUUUUGAAAAAUUUUCACUGGUUAAUUUGGGAUUUGAUUUGAAUUUAAUAUGUGAUUAAUGAAGAUCUAUCUUGGAUUUUCCUUUAGUGAAAUCCAACAAAUUUGAUUCC